GAGAGUUAAACAGUACGUGAAAUUGUUGAAAGGGAAACGAUUGAAGCCAGUCGUACCUUCGGGUAAUCAGCCUUUCGGGUGCGAUUCUGUGGAGUUUGAGGAGCUUAACACCUUCAUGCUUUGCAUAUUCGUACUCUUGGGUGUACUUGCCCGUGUGGUUGGUUAACAUCAAUUUCGGGCACCAUAAAAUGGCUGGAGGAAUGUAGCUUCGAUCUUGUAUUGAAGUGUUAUAGCCUUCGGUAGAUGUGGUGAUCGAGAUUGAGGAUUGCAACGGAUACCUUUCGGGGCUACCUGUCUGAUCUCUGAUCGUUGCUUUGUUGCUGAAAGCGUGCUUAUAGUUAUCAAAGUCGAUGGUCAAUAGGUUAGAAUGGGUUAAAUUCGUUAAGGAUGUUGACGUAAUGGCUUUAAACGA
rnacentral:rRNA from 1 species